rfam:Gossypium raimondii Chr06_contig_389, whole genome shotgun sequence.
GGGUGCGAUCGUACUAGUACUAAUACACCGGAUUCCAUCAGAACUCCGUAGUUAAGCGUGCUUGGGCUAGUGUAGUACUACGAUGGGUGACCUCCGCAGUUUUUUUAGUUGCAAUUU